rnacentral:rRNA from 1 species
AUUGAACGCUGGCGGCAGGCCUAACACAUGCAAGUCGAGCGGAUGAAGGGAGCUUGCUCCUGGAUUCAGCGGCGGACGGGUGUGUAAUGCCUAGGAAUCUGCCUGGUCGUGGGGGAUAACGUCCGGAAACGGGCGCUAAUACCGCAUACGUCCUGUGGGAGAAAGUGGGGGAUCUUCGGUCCUCCCGCUUUCAGUUGUUCCUAGGUCGGAUUAGCUAGUUGGUGGGGUAAUGGCCUACCAAGGCGACGAUCCGUAACUGGUCUGAGAGUAUGCUCAGUCAAAAAGGAAAGGAGAAACGGACAAGAGACGUAGGGGAGGCAGCAGUGGGGAAGAUAGGAAAAGGGGGGAAAGACUGAGCCAGAAAAGCAGCGUGUGUGAAGAAGGACAUCGGAUGGAAAAGCAGUUUAAGGUGGGAGGAAGGGCAGGAAGUAAAAACGAUGCUGAAUUGAGGUAACCAAAAGAAAAAGCACGGGCUAACAUCGU